GGGGUUGUAUUUGUUAGUUGGGGAUCAUAAUUCACUGAGAAACACUAGGUUACUCAUCCAACUCCGUUGUCCUUUUUGCAGGUAGCUUAGGUAAGGAUGAUCGGAUAGCUGGGUGCUGGACGUUAGGACCACCGGUGUAGAUUUUCAUGCCUUUUGUAAACGGUAUUUUGGAUUUGUUUUUAGUUGACUCGUUUUGGCAUUAGGCCGGGACCAGUCUCGAAUUGUAUCAAUGUAUG
rnacentral:lncRNA from 1 species